CACCCUCGUGUCAGCUCCCAACUCCCUCUACAAGCAAGCCCCUGGGCACACAGAGCUUAUAAAUUCACUCACCAUACUGAAGUGGCCCACAGGAGUUGGGAAAAUAUUCUUUAUUUUGGCUUUGCACUGAUAGCAGGCACUGACUGACUGCUUGGCUUCCUAUAUUUUCAGGAGUUUCCAGUGUAGAUGUGAAUUUUGCUGUGGAGUCUGCAUUUUGUGAGAGGUGCAAGCUUUCCAUCUCCUUUCCAUCUCCUGUCCUUUAUUGGCUCUUUCCUGCCAGUGAGCCUCGGUUUGUGAUGACUGAUUCUGCUGGUGCCUGAUAAGGCAGUUUCGAUUCAGCUUCUCUCCUUCUUCCAGAACCCAGGCAGCACCUCCUGGCCACACCAAGUAACUCCUAAACUGGACUGAAAAAAAUGCCAAAAGCAAGCAAAAUUCCUUUGCAAUUGUUUCUCCUCCUCAAGAGGGCACCUGUAUCAAAUUAUUUGACAGGCACAGCUCUCUGUUGGUGUUCUAAAAGGGUCCACAUUGCACUUUCUGGUGUCAAACUUCCAAUUAUGGGUCAGCUAGCCAGGACCAGGAGAUUGUGUUGGAUUUACUAAGGCCAGCUUGGCUUAGACUUUCCUGAUGGCCAAGCGACUUUCAGACUCUCAGAAGACAUUUCAAUUUCAGACUGAGGGAAACAGGCAGAAGUUCAGGUGCUAUUUUAGCAGCUCCAGAGGUGCACAGAGCCCAUUGGUUCAUGGAAGGGGAAAAGUGGGACCUGCCAGCUCACAGCAAGUCAUUGAAGCAAUCCAAGC
rnacentral:lncRNA from 1 species